AAGUAGUCUCGUUGGGACAGCGGAGGGAUCAUUGUUGGAACGCGCUUCGGCGCACCUCCAGACAACCCUUUGUGAACUUAUACCUAUACUGUUGCCUCGGCGUCAGGCUGGCUCCCCUCGGGGGGUCCCUCACCAUCUCGGUGAGGAGCAGGCCCGCCGGCGGCCAAGUUAACUCUUGUUUUUACACUGAAACUCUGAGAAUAAAACAAAAAUGAAUCAAAACUUUCAACAACGGAUCUCUUGGUUCUGGCAUCGAUGAAGAACGCAGCGAAAUGCGAUAAGUAAUGUGAAUUGCAGAAUUCAGUGAAUCAUCGAAUCUUUGAACGCACAUUGCGCCCUCUGGUAUUCCGGAGGGCAUGCCUGUUCGAGCGUCAUUUCAACCCUCAAGCCUGGCUUGGUGAUGGGACACUGCCUUUGAGAAAAGGCAGGUCCUGAAAUUCAGUGGCGAGCUCGCCAGGACCCCGAGCGCAGUAGUUAAACCCUCGCUUUGGAAGGUCUUGGUGCGGCCCUGCCGUUAAACCCCCAACUUCUGAAAAUUUGACCUCGGAUCAGGUAGGAAUACCCGCUGAACUUAAGCAUAUCAAUAGNCGGAGGAAA
rnacentral:rRNA from 1 species